UGGGGAAUAUUGGACAAUGGGCGAAAGCCCGAUGCAGCAACGCCGCGUGGGCGAUGAAGGCCUUCGGGUCGUAAAGCCCUUUUUGAGGGGAUGAGGAAGGACAGUACCCUCGGAAUAAGCCUCGGCUAACUACGUGCCAGCAGCCGCGGUAAAACGUAGGAGGCGAGCGUUAUCCGGAUUUACUGGGCGUAAAGCGCGUGCAGGCGGAUUGGAGAGUUGGAUGUGAAAGCUCCCGGCUUAACUGGGAGAGGUCGUUCAAUACUUCCAGUCUUGAGUGCAGUAGAGGGAAGUGGAAUUCCGGGUGUAGUGGUGAAAUGCGUAGAUAUCCGGAGGAACACCAGUGGCGAAAGCGGCUUCCUGGACUGUAACUGACGCUCAGACGCGAAAGCUAGGGUAGCAAACG
rnacentral:rRNA from 1 species